UUGAAUUUUAUCCAUUUUGUUUUGAUAAUUGUAGAAAUCAAGUGUGAAAAUAAUGUCUAUUAUGACAUCUGGGAUUAAAAUCUGUUAUAAGAAGUUUUAUAUUUCACACUUGACUCUCGAUAGAUCUCGAAUACUUGAUAUCGCCAAAUUUUUAGUGAUAGGCGCAAUAUUAUUCAGCUGAAUUUUGAUAUUUUUGUUCUUCAGGCCAAUUUUCAAUUGUAAAAAAGAAUUAUACAGCUGCAGCUGUAUAAUUCUUUUUUACUUUUUCAGUUAUAGCGGAUGUUGGCGACAGGUUUUUAUAAACAGAAAGUUCUUAACCGAGACAUACGAAAUAAGGAACGAAAAAUCGCUGUCAAUCGCCGCAAAAACCGCUAAUAACCGCAAAAACCGACAAUCACCGCACUGAAAAGCUGAUAACCGACCAUCACCGCAAAAGUCCGAUCACCGCAAAUGGUCGAUUUUUUGUUCCCUGAUACGAAAGGACUAAAACUAAAAAAAAUUUGUUUUUUUCAUUUUUUUAGCUGUGUUAAAAAAAUUCAGUUAAACAUAGCCUUUUUACUAAAACGCAAAAUUCGUUUAUUUUCCAGAACGUGCAUUGAAUGCGUUGAGUAGGUGCAGUUUUUGACGGCGUUCGAACGCUGCCAUCAGUGUUCAUCAAUCACGGCAAUCACUCAACUUAUGCAAAAGACGUUUACGCUUAUAGAUGUUUGUAACUGACGCUAUACAAUUGGCGGAAGUAAGAAGAUGACGUAAUUUUAGCAAACAGAAAUUAAGAAGAGAGGGAUGAAAAAUCUAAAAUCAAAGUUACAAAUUUUCCACUGGCAUAAAACAGCAUGUUUCAUAUUUUUUCAAUGACGUCAAUUUUUUUAAAUAAAAUAACUUAAAUACAAAAAUUUAAAACAAAAACAGUUUAAGCAAAACAGACGUGUAAUUAUUAGAAAAGUUUUGUUAUAUUCUGUAUAAAGCGUUAUGUAAGUGGAUUUUUUACGUUUGGGGCCAUCCAUAAAGGACGUCACCAUUUUUUAGCCAAUUUUUGACCCCUCCCCCGCCUUUGUCACCGGUUGUCCUUUUUCCCUAUACCCCCCUGGAAAAGGACGUCAUAAAAUCCUGACCCUUCUCCGUAUUUUUAACUC